rnacentral:rRNA from 1 species
CUGCUGCCUUCCGUAGGAGUUUGGGCCGUGUCUCAGUCCCAAUGUGGCCGUUCACCCUCUCAGGCCGGCUACUGAUCGUCGCUUUGGUAGGCGUUACCCUGCCAACUGGCUAAUCAGACGCGGGUCCAUCUCAUACCACCGGAGUUUUACCACUGCACCAUGCAGUGCUGUGGUCUUAUGCGGUAUUAGCAGUCAUUUCUAACUGUUAUCCCCCUGUAUGAGGCAGGUUACCCACGCGUUACUCACCGUCCG